GUGCUCGCUUUGGCAGCACAUAUACUAAAACUGAAAUGAUACAGAGAUUAGCAUGGCCCCUGCGCAAGGAUGACAUAUAAAUUAGUGAAGUGUUCCAUAAUUUU